rnacentral:rRNA from 1 species
CAUGGGGGGAGCUAUAAUGCAAGUCGAGCGGAAGAUGGGAGCUUGCUCCCUGAUGUUAGCGGGGACGGGUGAGUAACACGUGGGUAACCUGGCUGUAAGACUGGGAUAACUCCGGGAAACCGGGGCUAAUACCGGAUGGUUGUUUGAACCGGAUGGUUCAGACAUAAAAGGUGGGUUCGGGUACCACUUACAGAUGGACCCGCGGGGCAUUAGCUAGUUGGUGAGGUAACGGGUCACCAAGGGGACGAUGCGUAGCCGACCUGAGAGGGUGAUCGGCACUUGGGACGAGAACGGCCAGACUCUACGGAGGGAGCGUAGGGAAUCUUCCGCAUGGACAAAGUCUGACGGAGCACGCCGCGUGAGUGAUGAAGGUUUUCGGAUCGUAAAGCUCUGUUGUUAGGGAAGAACAAGUGGCCGUUCAAAUAGGGCGGCACCUUGACGGUACCGAAGCAGAAAGCACGGCUAACUACGUGGCCAGCAGCCGCGGUAAUACGUAGGUGGCAAGGCGUUGUCCGGAAUUAUUGGGCGUAAAGGGCUCGCAGGGCGGUUUCUUAAGUCUGAUGUGAAAGCCCCCGGCUCAACCGGGGAGGGUCAUUGGAAACUGGGGAACUUGAGUGCAGAAGAGGAGAGUGGAAUUCCACGUGUAGCGGUGAAAUGCGUAGAGAUGUGGAGGAACACCAGUGGCGAAGGCGACUCUCUGGUCUGUAACUGACGCUGAGGAGCGAAAGCGUGGGGAGCGAACAGGAUUAGAUACCCUGGUAGUCCACGCCGUAAACGAUGAGUGCUAAGUGUUAGGGGGUUUCCGCCCCUUAGUGCUGCAGCUAACGCAUUAAGCACUCCGCCUGGGGAGUACGGUCGCAAGACUGAAACUCAAAGGAAUUGACGGGGGCCCGCACAAGCGGUGGAGCAUGUGGUUUAAUUUCGAAGCACGCGAAGAAACCUUACCAGUCUUGACAUCCUCUGACAUCCUAGAGAUAGACGUCCCCUUCGGGGCAGAGUGACAGUGGUGCAUGUUGUCGUCAGCUCGUGUCGUGAGAUGUGGUUAAGUCCCGCACGAGCGCAUCCUUUGAUCUUAGGUGCCAGCAUCAGUUGUACUCUAGGUGACUGGCGGGUGAACAACCGGAGGGAAGGGGU